GGAGGUAGUGACAAGAAAUAACAAUACAGGGCUAUUUUAGUCUUGUAAUUGGAAUGAGUACAAUUUACAUCUCUUCACGAGGAUCAAUUGGAGGGCAAGUCUGGUGCCAGCAGCCGCGGUAAUUCCAGCUCCAAUAGCGUAUAUUAAAGUUGUUGCAGUUAAAACGCUCGUAGUCGGAUUUCGGGGCGGGCCGACCGGUCUGCCGAUGGGUAUGCACUGGCCGGCGCGUCCUUCCACCCGGAGACCGCGCCUACUCUUAACUGAGCGGGCGCGGGAGACGGGUCUUUUACUUUGAAAAAAUCAGAGUGUUUCAAGCAGGCAGUCGCUCUUGCAUGGAUUAGCAUGGGAUAAUGAAAUAGGACUCUGGUGCUAUUUUGUUGGUUUCGAACACCGGAGUAAUGAUUAACAG
rnacentral:rRNA from 1 species